CUCACCUAUGGGUGGGACUCAGCUUGAGGACUGACUUUGACUACUCCUGGAUACUGCAGGUGGACCUCACAGUUACUGUGGGCAGUAUCUCCAUGUAGGAAAAUCCAUCCCCAGCACUGUUCCUCUCACAGGAAAGAAUAUUAUAGGACUGUGACCCUUCAGGUCUUGGACCCUCUUUAUGGAAUGGUUCCUGGGAUUGUCAUCAAGCCAAAAACCAAACCCACUGCCAUCAAGUCAAUUCUGACUCGCAGCAACCCUAUAUGACAGAGUAGAACUGCCCCAUAGGGUUUCCAAGGCUGUAAGUCUUCAUGGAAUCAAACUGCCACAUCUUUCUCCCACAGAGUGACUAGUGGGUUCAAACUGCUGACCUUUUGGUUAGCAGCCAAGCACUUUAACCACUGCAUCACCAGGGCUUUGCGGUUGUCAUUACCAGACUGAAUUGUCUAACACAGGUGAGGCUGGGAAAGAUUGUCUUAUCAUUCUUGAAAUAGAGGUCUGAUGGGGUAGCAAAAUGAAAAUAGUCAAAAGCAGUUGGGUUACAACUCUUCAGACAAAGAUUAGACUGGAAUGUAAGACAUAAAAUGAUACUGGUGAGGAGUGAGCUUCUUAGCUCAAGUAGACACAUGAGACUAUGUGGACAGCUUCUGUCAAGAGGUGAGGUGAGAAGGCAGAGGGGGACAGGAGCUGGUUGAAUGGACAUGGGAAAUACAGGGUAGAGAGGAGGAGUGUGCUGUCACAUUGUAGGGAGAGCAACCAGGGUCACAUAACAAUGUGUGCAUAAGUUUUUUUUUAUGAGAAACUGACUUGAAUUAUAAACUUUCACUUAAAGCACAAUAAUAAAAAAGAGAAAAAAGGGGGAAGAAAAAGCAGUUGGCUUAGGAGAAGUAUGAGAACUAAAAACAGUGUUCAUUCUAGAUUGAAAAUAAAAAUGCUAUAAAGAACAUCAUUGGUAAAAUUUGAAUAUGGACUGUAUAUUAGAUAAUAAUAUACUACCAAGAAAGCAACACCAGGAGCAGAGCGUGCCCUUUAGACCCAAGUUUCCUGCACUGAGAAGCUCCUAGACUAGGUGAAGAUUGAGGAAAAGGACAUUCCUCCAGAGCCAACAGAGAGAGAAAGCCUUCCCCUGGAGCUGGCACACUAAAUUCAGGCUUCUAGCCUCCUAGAUUGUGAGAGACAAAAUUUCUUUAUGUUAAAGCUAUCCACUUGUCCCCCAGGUGUCUGUGAGUUUGUCAUACUCUGGGGCCUUGUGUGUUGCUGUGAUAAUGGAAGCUAUGUUACCGGUAUUCAAACACCAGCAGGGGAUCAUCCAUGGUGGACAGGUUUCACCUAAGCUUCCAGACUAAGACAGACUAGAAAGAAGGACCUGGUGGUUUACUUCUGAAAAGAACUAGCCAGUGAAAACCUUGUGAAUAGGAGUGGAACAUUGUCUGAUAUAGUGCUGGAAGAUGAGCCCUUCAGUUUGGAAGGCACUCAAAAAUCAACUGGGAAAGAGCUGCCUCUUCAAAGUAGAGUCGACCUUAAUGACGUGGAUGGAGUUCAAGCUUUCAUGACUUUCAUUUGCUGAUGUGGCACAACUCAAAAUGAGAAGAAACAGCUGCAAACAACCAUUAAUAAUCAGAACAUGGAAUGUAUGAAGUAUGAAUCUAGGAAAAUCAGAAAUCAUCAGAAAUGAAAGGAAACGCAUAAACAUCUAUAUCCUAGGGAUUAGUGAGCUGAAAUGGACUGCUAUUGGCCAUUUUGAAUCGGACAAUCAUAGUCUACUAUGCUGGGAAUGACAACUUGAAGAGGAAUGGUGUUGUGUUCAUCAUCAAAAAGAACAUUUCAAGAUCUAUCCUGAAGUACAACACUAUCAGUGAUAGGAUAAUAGCCAUACUCCUACAAGGAAUACCAGUUAAUACGACUACUAUUCAAAUUUACACACCAACUGCUAAGGCCAAAGAUGAGAAAAUUGAAGACUUUUACCAACCUCUGCAGUCUAAAAUUGAUUAAACAUGCAAUCAGGAUGCAUUGGUAAUUACUGGUGAUUGGCAUGUGAAAGUUGGAGACAAAGAAGGAGGAUAGGUAGUUGGAAAAUAUAGCCUGGGUGAUAGAAAUGAUGCCAGAGAUCGCAUGAUGGAAUUUUGGGAGACCAACAACUUCUUCAUUACAAAUACCUUUUUUCAACAACAUAAACAGCAACUAUACAUGUGAACCUUGCCAGAUGGAAUACACAGGAGUCAGAUUGACUACACUGUGGAAAGGAUCAUGGAAAAGUUCAAUAUCAUCAGUUAGAAGAGGGCCAGGGCCCAGCUGCGGAACAGACCAUCAAUUGGUCAUAUGCAAGUUCAAGUUGAAACUGAAGAAAAUUAGAACAAGUCCACGAGAGCCAAAGUGUGGCCUUGGGUAUAUCCCACCUGAAUUUAGAGACCAUCUCAAGAAUACAUUUGACGUGUUGACACUAAUGACCGAAAACCAGACACAGUUGUGGAAUGACAUCAAGGACAUCAUACAUGAAGAAAGCAAGAAGUUGUUAAAAAGACAGGAAAGAAAGAAAAGGCCAAAAUGGAUGUCAGAAGAAACUCUGAAACUUAGUCUUGAACAUCAGGUUGCUAAAGCAAAAGGAAGAAAUGAUGAAGUAAAAGAGCUGAACAGAAGAUUUCAAAGGGCACCUUGAGAAGAAAAAGUAUUAUAAUGAAGUGUGCAAAGACCUGUAGAUAGAAAACCAAAAGAGAAGAACGCACUCAUCAUUUUCCAAGCUGAAAGAACUGAAGAAAAAAUUCAAGCCUCAAGUUGCAACAUGGAAGGAUUCUAUGGGCAAAAUAUUAAAUGAUGCAUGAAGGAUGAAGAGAAGAUGGAAGGAAUACACAGAGUCACUGUACCGAAGAGAAUUUGUCGACGCUCACCCAUUUCAGCAGGUAUCACAUGAUCAGGAAUCGAUGGCACUGAAGGAAGAAGUCCAAGCCGCACUGAAGGCGUUGGUGAAAAACAAGUUUCCAGGAAUUGACGAAAUACCAAUUGAGAUGUUUCAACAAAUGGAUGCAGCACUGGAAGUGCUCACUUGUCUAUGCCAAGAAAUUUGGAAGACAGCUACCUGGCCAACUGACUGGAAGAAAUCCAUAUCUAUGCCUAUUCCCAAGAAAGAUGAUCCAACCCAAUGCAGAAAUUAUCGAACUACAUCAUUAAUAUCACACACAAGUAAAAUUUUGCUGAGGAUCAUUCAAAAGUGGUUGCAGCAGUAUAUUGACAGGGAACUGCCAGAAAUUCAAGCCGGAUUUAGAAGAAGACAUGAAACCAGGGAUACCGUUACUGAUGUUAGAUGGAUCCUGGCUGAAAGCAGAAAAUAGCAGAAAGAUGUUUACCUGUGUUUUGUUGACUACGCUAAGGCAUUCGACUGUGUGGAUCAUAACAAAUUAUGGACAACAUUGCAGAGAACGGGAAUUCUGGAACACUUAAUUGUGCUCAUUAGGAAUCUGUACAUGGAUCAAGAGGCAGUCGUUCGAACAGAACAAGGGGAUACUGCAUGGUUUAAAACUAGGAAAGGUGUGUGUCAGGAUUAUAUCCUUUCACCAUACCUAUUCAAUCUGUAUGCUGAGCAAAUAAUCUGAGAAGCUGGACUAUUUGAAGAAGAACGAGGCAUCAGGAUUGGAAGAAGACUCAUUAACAACCUAUGUUAUGCAGAUGACACAACCUCGAAAUUCCUCUGUAUUGUAGAAAGCUUUUCAAAAUUAAAUGCUAGAGGAUAAAACUAAAAAAAAAAAAAAGAAUCUGGCUUAGGAAGCUAGGAGACCUAGGUUUAGGAAGCAAAGAAGAGUCAAAUGUAAACAUGGAGGGGUCUGUGGCAACUGCCCAGAGUAGGCAUUCUCUGCUUUUUGUCUUGAUGUAUCAGGAAAGGAGUUGGGAGUGAGCAAAGACCUGAGGCAGCUCAGAACUGAAUCUCCUAUGGGGGUGCAGUUAGGCUCUAUCUCACAGUCUACUAGUUAGAGUAGAAAUUAAUAUAUUUUUCCAAAUUCUCUUUCAGGAUGGUUGUGCCAGGAGUGUUAAACUGUCCAUGCCUUUUUUUAAAUAUAUAAUUUCAUUUCUCAUUGCUAAUAUGUGUAAUACACGCAUACACAGAUCAAAGCAGAAGCUCACACUCUCCCUGGGUAUGCAUGCACCUAGAAAGAAUUUUUUUGAGUUAUCUCCUUAUGUGGCCAUUAAAGCCAAGAGAAAGUACAAAGUGCAAGGAUCAAGGGGUCUGCAGUAGAACCCCGAAGGGUCCAAGAGCAGAGCAGUAGUCAACAAAGGAGGCUAAGAAGGAAUUCUAAAGAGGGGCAGAGAGAGCUGACAGCAUUAAAGGCAAAGACAAGAAAAUAUUUCAAGGAGAAAUGAGUAGCCCACAGUCUAGAGCUUUCCUGACCAAUUGGACAGUGCAAAUAUAUAACAAUUUGGUUAUUGCAGAAACUUCUGUUGGACAAGGCUGAUCUAAAAAUCAAGCAAGACUGAAGGGUCCAGAGGAACUUGGUGACAUGGAGGUCACUGGUGAUCUUGAUGAGGGCUCUUUCAACGGAGUGGUGAGAGCAAAAAGCCAGAGAAGUUAGUGGAGAUGAGGAAAUGGAGGGAACAAGCUUAGACAGCUUCUUCAAGAAGUUUAACUAUCAUGGAGGAAUCUAGAAGGCAUUAUGCUGAGUGAAAUUAGUCAGUUGCAAAAGGACAAAUAUUGUAUGAGACCACUAUUAUAAGAACUCGAGAAAUAGUUCAAACACAGAAGAAAAUAUUCUUUGAUGGUUACGAGAGUGGGGAGGGAGGGAGGGAGAGAGGUAUUCACUGUUUAGAUAGUAGACAAGGACUACUUUAGGUGAAGGGAAAGACAACAUAAUACAGGAGAGGUCAGCACAACUGGACUUAACCAAAAGUAAAGAAGUUUCCUGAAUAAACUGAACCCUUCAAAUGCCAGUAUAGCAGGGGCGGGGUUUUGGGGACCAUGGUUUCAGGGGACAUCUAGGUCAAUUGGCAUAAUAAAAUCUAUUAAUAAAACAUUCUGCAUCUCACUUUGGAGAGUGGCAUCUGGGAUCUUAAACGCUAGCAAGUGGCCAUCUAAGAUGCAUCAAUUGGUCUCAACCCACCUAGAUCAAAGGAGAAUGAAGAACACCAAAGAUAUAAGGUAAUUAUGAGCCCAAGAGACAGAAAGGGCCAUAUAAACCAGAGACUACAUCAGCCUGAGACCAGAAGAACUAGAUGGUGCCCAGCUAUAUCUGAUGACUGCCCUGACAGGGAACACAACAGAGAACUCCUGAGGGAGCAGGAGAGCAGUGGGAUGCAGACCUCAUAAUUCUUGUAAAAAGACCAGACUUAAUGGUCUGACUGAGACUAGAAGGACCCUGGAGGUCAUGGUCCCCAGACCUUCUGUAAGCCCGAGACAGGAACCAUUCCCAAAGCCAACUCUUCAGACAGGGAUUGGACUGGACUAUGGGAUAGACAAUGAUACUGGUGAGGAGUGAGCUUCUUGGCUCGAGUAGACACAUGAGACUAUGUGGGAAGCUCCUGUUUGCAGGGGAGAUGAGAGGGCAGAGGGGGUCAGAAGCUGAUUGAAUGGACACGAAAAUAGACAGUGGAGGGAAGGAGUGUGCUGUCUCAUUCCGGGGAGAGCAACUAGGAGUAUAUAGUAAAGUGUAUAUAAAUUUUUGUAUGAGACACUGACUUGAUUUGUAAACUUUUACUUAAAGCACAAUAAAAUUUUUUUUUAAGUUAGAAUAUUUCAUAUGGAAAAAAAAAGAAGCUUGACUGUGAAAUGGAAACCAGAUCUGCUGUAAUUGCUGAAAAAAGGAGGCUGAAUGGGAACAUUUUAAGAUGGAAGGAUUCAAUAUCCCUGCUGGAAAUCAGCUCGUCUUCUUCACACAGUGUCGUCGAACGUGGAAAGAGCUUAUUUCUGAGGCAUAAUGACCAGCCUAACAUAUGAAAAGUCGAUGAUAGACAGACAUAACAGCAUAAAUGUAUUGAGGACAAAAAAUAUCUUCUGAAUGCAGCCGUCAGCGAGCCAUUGAAUGUCCUGUAGCAAAGGUAACGGGUCACUUAUUUACCAUGAAGACUGGGACGAGAACUCAAGGAAUCUGAGCGGCGCUAUGCCAAUUGUCUGAGGGAAAGGACGCCUUUCCUUUCCCACUCAAAGAGUUAGCUUUGUUUGCACAUGUUUUAGAUCAAUAACUGGUAAUAGUAAAGGCAGAACAAAAGCUCUAAUAACCAUGAGCCAUCUGCAGUGUGAAUCCACAUUUCCCAAGUUAAACACUACUGUCUUGUGAAUGAAUACAGUGUAUAUGACUUUUUUUUCUAAUUGAAAAAAAUGCCUUGAUCCAUGUACACCAAAAGGGGGCACCAGGGUAUUAAAGAAGUUACAAUGUUUUGGGAGGCUAAAAAUGAAAUUAAGUCAAGUUUGGAGAGGUUCUUAGUAUAAUUAAUAUGUACGUGAUUUGGAAACUUGUUAUUCUAAAAAGUUGCUUGGGUGGUUUCAAGUAUUUUGGUAAGACCAUUUUGAUAUCUGAGUAGAAUUUUCUGUUGGUAUUGGGUGAUUACUUUGAAGUUUGAUAGUAUAAAUGCAAAAAAGUUUCUUAAUUGAUGAAGGAUGAUAUAAAGAUAAAUCACAUCUAAGUCUUCUUAGAAUGCUAUCAAGAUUAGUACCCAUAGUCUUUUUCAUUGACGUUUUGGUCGAUGUUCUUUUCAAGUAGAUAUUUGUCUCUUCUUUGUUGUUGUAUACGACCCUUAAUAAAUGUCAGAAUAUUUGUUUUCAUGUAUGUGUCUAGAUGGAGAAAUUCAGCAUUCUGUAUUGGCUUUGCUGAGAGAAAGAUGCAAAAAUUGGGCUGUGGCAAAUAGUAGCUAAUUUAGAGAUUGGCUACCAUAACCCCCAGAAUUCAGAAGGAAUAAAGAAAGAGAAUGAAACGCAUUUUCUGAGAAGAUUUUCAGAUUGCACAUGUUGCAUAAUGUUAUCUCAUUUUGGUGAUUCUAGUAAAAGGACAGUUAGUGGGGAACACGUCAGGGAGACAAGAGGUUGCCUCCUCUGCUUUAAUGUCACCUAUGAGGUGUGUAAAAACCAGUUCCAUUUCUAAUUUCGUCAGUGAGUGAGUAAGUGCUAUUUGUGUUGUGUUUCCCAUUACCCUGGCCCUGUGCCUCUUUCCCCCACCCCAUAUGUGAAGCAGAGACCUUUAAUGUGUAAUCAAGUCUGAACUGGUUGCUUAGCUAAUAAUUCCUCUUAAAAAUGGAAAUCAGUGGCUGCCUGAUCCUGUUUCUUCUGUGUAUCUGUACCAUUUCCAAAGAUGGCUGCAAUACAAACAAAAUGGGUUGUCUUUUCAUGGAACACAUUUUUUUUUCCUUUUUAGUUUUCGAUAUUUGGUCAUACCCAACUUUUUGAAAAAAGAUCAAAUGAGAAAUUUAGUUGAAAUCAUGUUUUAUAGUUUAAUUUUUACCCAGCCUCAGGUCUUGCCAUUAUUUUAUGCUUUGUGAUGAUUUAUGGAAUCAUCUAUUAUGCAAUGCAAGGUAAUUUACAAGCCGCUAUUACAUCCCUGUAACGUUGAUGAAAUAUGUGACUAAUUAGUAUAUUGUUUAACUGGGAGAAUUAGAUUUAAAAAAAACAAAUGUCUUGCAGGUUUAUUUGAAACCUAGGGACUUUAUUCAACUUCAAUAAUUAUUCAGGUACAAUAAGUUGUUAUGUGUAGGGCUGGAAGAUAGCUGGAACUUUAUUUUAAAAUAUGGUGAUACCAAGAAGUUUUUAUGGCUCUCUUAUUUAUUUGAAAUAAAAAUAGAAUCAGAUUAUUGAAUUUCACAUCUUUUUCUUAUCAACAAUGUCACGAUUAGCAUGUAGUAAAAUGUCCACUUAGAGACA